CAGAAUGACUUUUAAAAAAAUGUCUGCAUGACAACAGGGCAUCAGGAAUGGUAUCACCUCUGGAGUUUACAUGGUUUUGAACAAAAUUAAAACAACCCCGUGGAAGGAGCAAAAUGGUGGAAAGUGAUAGAAUGGAGGGUAUUCCAGCCUGGACAGGGAACCACAAAUAAACCAGUGGCCAGAGAUAGAAUAUCAGUGAUGCUGAUGGUGAUGGCAGGGACAGUGAUGAGGCUGAAGAAUAAAGUGAGGACCUACUACAUGCCAGUCAGCACAAGGUGGAAGCCCCAGCAAGGCCUAACAAGGCAGAUGAAUCAAGGAGGGCUUCCUGGAGGAAUUGGCAUUUAAGCUGAGGAUCUUAGUAUGACUGAAAGUCAGCUGGGAAGGCUCAUUUUGGUAAAGAAAACAGCAUGAGCAAAGGCACUCAGGCAUGGUGCAGCAUAGUGUUAUGAGGGAAGGCACAUGAGGUUCCUUCAGGAAUGAGGCAGAGCAUUACUACAUAGAUAU